rnacentral:tRNA from 1 species
GAGGGUGUACCUCAGUGGUAGAGCACGUGCUUAGCGUGCAUGAGGUCCUGGGUUCAGUCCCCAGUGCCUCCU